rnacentral:rRNA from 1 species
CACAGAGUUAGCCGAGCCUUAUUCCCGGGGUACCGUCAUUAUCGUCCCCCGAAAAAGGAGUUUACAACCCGAAGGCCGUCAUCCUCCACGCGGCGUUGCUCGUUCAGGCUUGCGCCCAUUGACGAAAAUUCCUUG